UAUGGAGGAUGCGAGCGUUAUCCGGAUUUAUUGGGUUUAAAGGGUGCGUAGGCGGAUCGUUAAGUCAGUGGUCAAAUUGAGGGGCUCAACCCCUUCCCGCCAUUGAAACUGGCGAUCUUGAGUGGAAGAGAAGUAUGCGGAAUGCGUGGUGUAGCGGUGAAAUGCAUAGAUAUCACGCAGAACCCCGAUUGCGAAGGCAGCAUGCCGGCUUCCGACUGACGCUGAAGCACGAAAGCGUGGGGAUCGAACAGG
rnacentral:rRNA from 1 species